AGGUGCGAUCCUACCAGCACUAAUGCACCGGAUCCCAUCAGAAUUCCGCAAUUAAGGGUGCUUGAGUGAGAGUAGUACUAGGAUGGCUGACCUCCGAGGAAGUCCUCGUGUUACACCUU
rnacentral:rRNA from 1 species